GUAUCUUGGCUCAGGAUGAACGCUAGCGGCAGGCUUAACACAUGCAAGUCGAGGGGCAGCGCGGGAUAGCAAUAUCCUGGCGGCGACCGGCGGAAGGGUGCGUAACGCGUGAGCGACAUGCCCGUUGCCCGGGGGACAACCGGUGGAAACGCCGACUAAUCCCCGAUGGGAUAUUGUGCCGCAUGGCACGAUAUUGAAGUUACGGCGGCGACGGAUUGGCUCGCGUCCGAUUAGCUGGUUGGCGGGG
rnacentral:rRNA from 1 species